UAAUGUCUGGGAAACUGCCUGAUGAGGGGGAGUAACUACUGGAAACGGUAGCUAAUACCGCAUAAUGUCGCAAGACCAAAGUGGGGGACCUUCGGGCCUCAUGCCAUCAGAUGUGCCCAGAUGGGAUUAGCUAGUAGGUGGGGUAACGGCUCACCUAGGCGACGAUCCCUAGCUGGUCUGAGAGGAUGACCAGCCACACUGGAACUGAGACACGGUCCAG
rnacentral:rRNA from 1 species